rnacentral:rRNA from 1 species
UACAGAGGUCUCGAGCGUUGUUCGGAUUCAUUGGGCGUAAAGGGUGCGUAGGCGGCGUGGUAAGUCUGGUGUGAAAUCCUGGAGCUUAACUCCAGAAAUGCACUGGAUACUGCCAUGCUAGAGGACUGGAGAGGAGAUUGGAAUUCACGGUGUAGCAGUGAAAUGCGUAGAUAUCGUGAGGAAGACCAGUGGCGAAAGCGAAUCUCUGGACAGUUCCUGACGCUGAUGCACGAAGGCUAGGGGAGCAAACGGG